GGAGGGUGCGAGCGUUAAUCGGAAUUACUGGGCGUAAUGCGCACGCAGGCGGAUACUUAAGCUAGAUGGGAAAGCCCCGGGCUCAACCUGGGAUGGUCAUUUAGAACUGGUAGACUAGAGUCUUGGAGAGGGGAGUGGAAUUCCAGGUGUAGCGGUGAAAUGCGUAGAGAUCUGGAGGAACAUCAGUGGCGAAGGCGACUCCCUGGCCAAUGACUGACGCUCAUGUGCGAAAGUGUGGGUAGCGAACAGGAUUAGAUACCCUGGUAGUCCACACCGUAAACGCUGUCUACUAGCUGUAUGUUUUUUAUAAGAUGUGUGGCGUACGCUAACGCGCUAAGUAGACCGCCUGGGGAGUACGGCCGCAAGGUUAAAACUCAAAUGAAUUGACGGGGGCCCGCACAAGCGGUGGAGCAUGUGGUUUAAUUCGAUGCAACGCGAAGAACCUUACCUACACUUGACAUCCAGAGAACUUACCAGAGAUGGUUUGGUGC
rnacentral:rRNA from 1 species